rnacentral:rRNA from 1 species
AGCCUGAUGCAGCGACGCCGCGUGAGGGAUGGAGGCCUUCGGGUUGUAAACCUCUUUUAUCGGGGAGCAAGCGAGAGUGAGUUUACCCGUUGAAUAAGCACCGGCUAACUACGUGCCAGCAGCCGCGGUAAUACGUAGGGUGCAAGCGUUAUCCGGAAUUAUUGGGCGUAAAGGGCUCGUAGGCGGUUCGUCGCGUCCGGUGUGAAAGUCCAUCGCUUAACGGUGGAUCCGCGCCGGGUACGGGCGGGCUUGAGUGCGGUAGGGGAGACUGGAAUUCCCGGUGUAACGGUGGAAUGUGUAGAUAUCGGGAAGAACACCAAUGGCGAAGGCAGGUCUCUGGGCCGUCACUGACGCUGAGGAGCGAAAGCGUGGGGAGCGAACAGGAUUAGAUACCCUGGUAGUCCCAGCCGUAAACGAUGGACGCUAGGUGUGGGGGGACGAUCCCCCCGUGCCGCAGCCAACGCAUUAAGCGUCCCGCCUGGGGAGUACGGCCGCAAGGCUAAAACUCAAAGAAAUUGACGGGGGCCCGCACAAGCGGCGGAGCAUGCGGAUUAAUUCGAUGCAACGCGAAGAACCUUACCUGGGCUUGACAUGUUCCCGACAGCCGUAGAGAUACGGUCUCCCUUCGGGGCGGGUUCACAGGUGGUGCAUGGUCGUCGUCAGCUCGUGUCGUGAGAUGUUGGGUUAAGUCCCGCAACGAGCGCAACCCU